rnacentral:rRNA from 1 species
CCUACGGGUGGCAGCAGUGAGGAAUAUUGGUCAAUGGACGAGAGUCUGAACCAGCCAUGUAGCGUGAAGGAUGACUGCCCUAUGGGUUGUAAACUUCUUUUAUUUGGGAAUAAAAUGUUCCACGUGUGGGGUUUUGUAUCUACCUUAUUACUAAGGAUCGGCUAACUCCGUGCCUGCAGCCGCGGUAAUACGGAGGAUCCGAGCGUUAUCCGGAUUUGUUGGUGUUAAAGGGAGCGUAGAUGGGUUGUUAAGUCAGUUGUGAAUGUUUGCGGCUCAACCGUAAAAUUGCAAUUGAUCCUGGCAGUCUUGAGUACAGUUGAGGUAGGCGGAAUUCGUGGUGUAGCGGUGAAAUGCGUAGAUAUCAGGAAGAACACCGAUGGCGAAGGCAGCUUACUAAACUGCAACUGACACUGAUGCUCGAAAGUGUGGGGAUCAAACAGGAUUAGAUACCCUUGUAGUC